rnacentral:rRNA from 1 species
AUUGAACGCUGGCGGCAUGCUUUACACAUGCAAGUCGAACGGUAACAGGCCGCAAGGUGCUGACGAGUGGCGAACGGGUGAGUAAUGCAUCGGAACGUGCCCAGUCGUGGGGGAUAACUACUCGAAAGAGUAGCUAAUACCGCAUACGAUCUAUGGAUGAAAGCGGGGGACCGUAAGGCCUCGCGCGAUUGGAGCGGCCGAUGUCAGAUUAGGUAGUUGGUGGGGUAAAGGCUCACCAAGCCAACGAUCUGUAGCUGGUCUGAGAGGACGACCAGCCACACUGGGCCUGAGACACGGCCCCGACUCCUACGGGAGGCACCAGUGGGGAAUUUUGGCCAAUGGGCGCAAGCCUGAUCUAGCAAUGCCGCGUGUAGGAAGAAGGCCUUCGGGUUGUAAACUGCUUUUGUACGGAACGAAACGGCUCUGGUUAAUACCCGGGGCUAAUGACGGUACCGUAAGAAUAAGCACCGGCUAACUACGUG